AUGGCUUUAGUUAGGAAAUAUGCAAAGCCAGAUGUAUUCCUAACAAUGACCUGCAACCCCAACUCGGAAGAGAUCACACAUGAACUAGAGUUUGGAAAAACACCACAAGAUCACCCAGACAUUGUUGUUCUUAUUUUUAGGGCGAAGCUAGAAGAAUUAAAGCAACAAUUUGAGAAGGCCAUUCUUGGAAAGGUUACACCAUAUACAUAUGUCGUAGAAUUCCAAAAGAGGGGAUUACCCCAUGCUCACUUUUUGCUCAUCAUGACCGAAAAAUACAAGUACACAUGUCCAGAAUAA
rnacentral:rRNA from 1 species